GAUGAAGAACGCAGCGAAAUGCGAUAAGUAAUGCGAAUUGCAGAAUUCCAGUGAGUCAUCGAAUCUUUGAACGCACAUUGCGCCCUUUGGUAUUCCGAAGGGCAUGCCUGUUCGAGCGUCAUUAUCACCCCUCAAGCCCUCGGCUUGGUGUUGGACGGUUUGGUGGAGGCCCCCUCGGGGGCUCCUGCCCCUCCCAAAGACAAUGACGGCGGCCUCGUUGGACCCCCGGUACACUGAGUUCUUCACGGGACACGUAUCGGACACAUGGGUUUACGGGACACGGUCUGCCUCCCCUCAGGGAGAAUCUUUCUAAGGUUGACCUCGGAUCAGGUAGGGAUACCCGCUGAACGUAAGCAUAUCAAUAAGCGGAGGA
rnacentral:misc_RNA from 1 species